rnacentral:rRNA from 1 species
AAGAAAGUAAGAAAGGGCGUAUGGCGGAUGCCUAGGCUCACGGAGGCGAUGAAGGACGUGAUAAGCUGCGAUAAGCUUCGGGUAGGUGCAAAUAACCUUUGAUCCGAAGAUUUCCGAAUGGGACAACCUAGCCGUCUGAAGGACGGUUACUCUUACCAAUGUAAGAGAGCUAACGCAGGGAACUGAAACAUCUUAGUACCUGUAGGAAGAGAAAAUAAAUUAAUGAUUCCCCCAGUAGUGGCGAGCGAACGGGGAACAGCCCAAACCAGUGGCGUCGCAAGGCGUGGCUGGGGUUGUAGGACCGCGACAU